GACGAACGCUGGCGGCGUGCUUAACACAUGCAAGUCGAACGGAAAGGCCCCUUUUGGGGUACUUACUCGGCUAACGGGUGGGUAACACGUGAGUAACCUACCUUCCCUUUACUUAUAACUUCAGGAAACUGGGGCGAAUACCUGCCAGGAAUCCUUGCUGCAUGGUGGGGGUUGGGAAGCUUUGUCGGGUUUGGGUGGAGUCCGCGGUUAUUAGCCUGUUGGUGGGGUAGUGGGUUACCAAGGCGUUCACGGGUAGGCGGGCUGGGGGGGCGACCGGCCAAAUUGGGGCUGGGAUACGGCCCAGGCUCCUACGGGGAGCAGGAGUGGGGAAUAUUGGAAAAUGGGCGGAAGCCUGAUGCAGCAACGGCGCGGGGGGGAUGACCGCCUUCGGGUUGGAAAACGCUUUCAGCAGGGGAGGAGCUUGUGGUGACGGUACCUGCAGAAGAAGCACCGGCUAACUACGUG
rnacentral:rRNA from 1 species